UUUCCGUAGGUGAACCUGCGGAAGGAUCAUUACCACUUUUUGGGAGCGUUAUUAAAAAUGCGUUCUCAUUUCCAACCCCACACACUUGUGUGAACCAUGAUGUUGAUGUCGCGGAGAUGAUGCUCGGGUCGUUGCAGAUGCUCAUUCGGUUGAGCGGAGACGACGCGGUGAAGCGCGCAUCGAGGCGACAUUACACACUCAACAACAACCCAUUGAAAAAGAGAUUUUAUUACACAUACAUACCAAAACCAACAUCACUUCAAACAACGGAUGUCUAGGUUCUC
rnacentral:misc_RNA from 1 species